CAGAAAGCACACUACAACUGAGUUUCACCGAAGCUGGAACAAAAUCUCAGGUGGCUCUCUAGACUUCAGUACCAGGAAUUCACAGAUUUUUAGACCAGAUCUCCGCCUUAGAUGACUCACUAAAUCAGAUCUCCACUCCAACUACCCUCUUUUCAAAAGACAGACAGUUGCCAUGAUUGUCAAAUUUGGUGUAGAGGCUCCUUCUACAAGAGGUUGUCUUCAUUUAUGACCUUCGUUCAUUCAACACACUCAUUUUUGAUAACUUGUGUGCUAAGCUUUGUGUGAAGAGCACAAAUAAAAUGCUACCGGGGCACAGAGGAGCUUUAUUCUGCUGGGAGACUAGAACUGGGCACCACUACCCACAGGAAACAACAUAUGAAGCGUAUCCAGACUGUGGUAUGUCACUAUGGUAACUAUAGUCUCAACUGUCAAAGAACAAAGGUUAGUCCUUCCUGGUGAAUGUGACCCAUCCUGGUAAGUAUAUUUUUGUUCUCUGUCUACUAAUUGCAACCUCAGAGUCACUAUGUGGCAUUAUAUUAUAAUAGUAAUGGAAGUAUUAUAUUGUAUCUUUGUAUUGCAUGGUAUUGUAUUGUAUCACAUCCAAAGAAGAAAAUAGGAAGGAAAGAAGAUAUUAAUUGAGGUUUAAGGGUGUGGCCACUAAACAAAUUAAACUAACUUUUCCUUUCUCUACUAAUACCUACCUCUUUAUAGCAGAGAUUUUGAGGAAAACUAGUUAUGGUUUUCUAUUUGGAAUGAUAAAAUUUUGAGAAAGAUGGAGAUGAAGAAAGAAAAGAAAUAGGACAUUAUAGUUCCAGAAUUUCCAUAUAGGACAUGCUUGGGGUGGCUGUCAGAAAAGAGGAACAGGGGAAUUUCCUGUAGUAUUUGAGCAAUGAACCCAGUGAUUUUACUUAGGAUUGUAUGUUGAUUUGGGGAGGCUUGGAAGAGGCUCUUAGACAUUGGAAGGGGAAGCUCUCAAGUCAUUCCUUGGUAUUUCCACUGGUAAUAGGGUGCUCAGAAAAAAAUGCAAACAUUUUUAUUGGUAGGUAAUUUAUGAAAAAGCGUUUUCAUACAAGGGAACUUUUCCCAAUUUUAGAAUUGAAGCCCUGGAUGUUCUGACAUGAAGAUUUGUCAAAAGGAACUUCUCUAGACUCCAAAAGAAUACAAUUUCUUAUCCUUGAUGUAACUUAAAUUGAUGAGUUUAUGUAGUCCAAGGAAACAAUUUCUCUAACCUCAGGGGAACAAAAUAAGGUAGUGCCCGAAUAACAGCACAAUUGUUGUCUUGUCUUAGUAGCCUACUCCCUGCUCCAUGCUUUUUGUCUCAGUACCUACAGUGCUGGGGGAAAAAAAAACCUAUUCAAGUGUGCUAGGGGCCGGUGCCUUUAGAACCCUCCUGAAAGCCCACUGGUUGGAUGAGUCAUUAAAUAUCUCUCCACUCAGUCUGUUCAGCACUGCUUUGCCUGGAUCAUAUCCACAUUCCUACCUUUGACUCUAAACCAAAGUUAGGACUUGCUUAUUCCUUUUGGCACAUUUUCAUAUCAUGAGCACAUUUUGUGAUAUGUCCAUCUGCACAGCUAUCUAAAUAAGCACAGACUUAUGGGGAGUGUGGCUGAGAGUUCACUUAAGAUCAUUUACAGGCUCC
rnacentral:lncRNA from 1 species